ensembl:lncRNA novel transcript
GCGGGCGGCGAGCGGCGCGCACAAUCCUCGCUCGGCUGCGGCUCUCGGGUGUCCCAGGCCCGGCCGGUAAGCAGAGCAUGGCGGGUGCGGGCCCGAAGCGGCGGGCGCUAGCGGCCCCGGUGGCCGAGGAGAAGGAAGAGGCGCGGGAGAAGAUGCUGGCCUCCAAGCGCGCGGACGGCGCGGCGCCGGCAGGCGAGGGCGAGGGCGUGACCCUGCAGCGGAACAUCACGCUACUCAACGGCGUGGCCAUCAUCGUGGGCGCCAUCAUCGGCUCGGGCAUCUUCGUGACGCCCACGGGCGUGCUUAAGGAGGCAGGCUCGCCGGGGCUGGCGCUGGUGAUGUGGGCCGCGUGCGGCGUCUUCUCCAUCGUGGGCGCGCUCUGCUACGCGGAGCUGGGCACCACCAUCUCCAAAUCGGGCGGCGACUACGCCUACAUGCUGGACGUCUACGGCUCGCUGCCCGCCUUCCUCAAGCUCUGGAUCGAGCUGCUCGUCAUCCGGCCUUCAUCGCAGUACAUCGUGGCCCUGGUCUUCGCCACCUACCUGCUCAAGCCGCUCUUCCCCAGCUGCCCGGUGCCCGAGGAGGCAGCCAAGCUCAUGGCCUGCCACUGCGUGCAUUGACUUGAUGCAAAACAUCACAAAGGCUCCAUGUUACACAGUAUGCGAUUUUUGAGAACUGAUAGUGCAUCAGCUGACCCAGGUAAUUUAAAAUAUUCUUCAUCCAGAGAUAGAGGUGGUUCUUCCUCUUACGGACUGCAACCUUCAAAUUCAGCUGUGGUGUCUCGGCAAAGGCACGAUGAUACCAGAGUCCACGCUGACAUACAGAAUGACGAAAAGGGUGGCUACAGUGUCAAUGGAGGAUCUGGGGAAAAUACUUAUGGUCGGAAGUCGUUGGGGCAAGAGCUGAGGGUUAACAAUGUGACCAGCCCUGAGUUCACCAGUGUUCAGCAUGGCAGUCGUGCUUUAGCCACCAAAGACAUGAGGAAAUCACAGGAGAGAUCGAUGUCUUAUUGUGAUGAGUCUCGACUGUCAAAUCUUCUUCGGAGGAUCACCCGGGAAGACGACAGAGACUGAAGAUUGGUCACUGUAAAGCAGUUGAAAGAAUUUAUUCAGCAACCAGAAAAUAAGCUGGUACUAGUUAAACAAUUGGAUAAUAUCUUGGCUGCUGCACAUGAUGUGCUUAAUGAAAGUAGCAAAUUGCUUCAGGAGUUGAGACAGGAGGGAGCUUGCUGUCUUGGCCUUCUUUGUGCUUCUCUGAGCUAUGAGGCUGAGAAGAUCUUCAAGUGGAUUUUUAGCAAAUUUAGCUCAUCUGCAAAAGAUGAAGUUAAACUCCUCUACUUAUGUGCCACCUACAAAGCACUAGAGACUGUAGGAGAAAAGAAAGCCUUUUCAUCUGUAAUGCAGCUUGUAAUGACCAGCCUGCAGUCAAUUCUUGAAAAUGUGGAUACACCAGAAUUGCUUUGCAAAUGUGUUAAGUGCAUUCUUUUGGUGGCUCGAUGUUACCCUCAUAUUUUCAGCGCUAAUUUUAGGGAUACAGUUGAUAUAUUAGUUGGAUGGCAUAGAGAUCAUACUCAGAAACCUUCGCUCACGCAGCAGGUAUCUGGGUGGUUGCAGAGUUUGGAGCCAUUUUGGGUAGCUGAUCUUGCAUUUCCUACGACUCUUCUUGGUCAGUUUCUAGAAGACAUGGAAGCAUAUGCUGAGGACCUCAGCCAUGUGGCCUCUGGGGAAUCAGUGGAUGAAGACGUCCCUCCUCCAUCAGUGUCAUCACCAAAGCUGGCUGCGCUUCUCCGGGUAUUUAGUACUGUGCUGAGGAGCAUUGGGGAACGCUUCAGCCCAAUUCGGGUCCUCCAAUUACUGAGGCAUACGUAACAGUUGUUCUGUACAGAGUAAUGAGAUGUGUGACGGCUGCAAACCAGGUGUUUUUUUCUGAGGCUGUGUUGACAGCUGCUAAUGAGUGUGUUGGUGUUUUGCUCGGCAGCUUGGAUCCUAGCAUGACUAUACAUUGUGACAUGGUCAUUACAUAUGGAUUAGACCAACUGGAGAAUUGCCAGACUUGUGGUACCGAUUAUAUCAUCUCAGUCUUGAAUUUACUCACGCUGAUUGUUGAACAGAUAAAUACGAAACUGCCAUCAUCAUUUGUAGAAAAACUGUUUAUACCAUCAUCUAAACUACUAUUCUUGCGUUAUCAUAAAGAAAAAGAGGUUGUUGCUGUAGCCCAUGCUGUUUAUCAAGCAAUGCUCAGCUUGAAGAAUAUUCCUGUUUUGGAGACUGCCUAUAAGUUAAUAUUGGGAGAAAUGACUUGUGCCCUAAACAACCUCCUGCACAGUCUGCAACUUCCUGAGGCCUGUUCUGAAAUAAAACAUGAGGCUUUUAAGAAUCAUGUGUUCAAUGUAGACAAUGCAAAAUUUGUAGUUAAAUUUGACCUCAGUGCCCUGACUACAAUUGGAAAUGCCAAAAACUCGAGUCUUUAAUUGUAAUGACUUUGUUUUAUCCACAGUUAAGCCUUUUCUCAUUACAUAUUUAUGUAUUUCACUGUCAUGUCAACAUGUCUGCAGAAUCACUGUAUGUAACAAACAGCCAUAUUUAAGACAUGCCUGGAUAAAUAAAAUUGGUAGGAAUGUUUUCUUGCCAUUAUAUUUAACGUUUCUUCUUUUUCCUUGACAAAUCUUGAUAAGUUUUUUUAUAUUAGUUUUAUUUUCUAGAAAACGUCUUAUGAAUUUCUCCCAUUUGCUCUAGCAUGCUUAUAGAAAAUGUCAGUGUUUCUUACAGCUCAAAUUUGUAUAGUUGUUUUAAAAUGCGGUCUCUUUCUUCUUCCCCUGGUACUUUUUUCUUUCUGUCUACUGAAGUUAGUUCUUAUACAUGGUCUUAUAUUUUGGCUGUCUUUUUUUCCCUAGGAACAUUCAUACAGGUUGAAUAUUCCUUAUCUGAAAUACUUGGGACUGGAAGUGUUUUUGAUUUUGGAGUUUGGAAUAC